AUUGAACGCUGGCGGCAGGCCUAACACAUGCAAGUCGAACGGUAAAAGGAAGCUGCUUGCUGCUUUGUGGACGAGUGGCGGCCGGGUGAGUAAUGUCUGGGAAACUGCCUGAUGGAGGGGGAAAACUACUGGAAACGGAAGCUAAAACCGCAUAACGUCGCAAGACCAAAGAGGGGGACCUUCGGGCCUCUUGCCUUCGGAUUGGCCCAGAUGGGAUUAGCUAGUAGGUGGGGUAACGGCUCACCUAGGCGACGAUCCCUAGCUGGUCUGAGAGGAUGACCAGCCACACUGGAACUGAGACACGGUCCAGACUCCUACGGGAGGCAGCAGUGGGGAAUAUUGCACAAUGGGCGCAAGCCUGAUGCAGCCAUGCCGCGUGUAUGAAGAAGGCCUUCGGGUUGUAAAGUACUUUCAGCGGGGAGGAAGGGAGUAAAGUUAAUACCUUUGCUCAUUGACGUUACCCGCAGAAGAAGCACCGGCUAACUCCGUG
rnacentral:rRNA from 1 species